UUAAGCGACUAAGCGUACACGGUGGAUGCCCUGGCAGUCAGAGGCGAUGAAGGGCGUGCUAAUCUGCGAUAAGCGCCGGUAAGGUGAUAUGAACCGUUAUAACCGGCGAUACCCGAAUGGGGAAACCCAGUGUGAUUCGUCACACUAUCAUUAACUGAAUCCAUAGGUUAAUGAGGCGAACCGGGGGAACUGAAACAUCUAAGUACCCCGAGGAAAAGAAAUCAACCGAGAUUCCCCCAGUAGCGGCGAGCGAACGGGGAGGAGCCCAGAGCCUGAAUCAGCAUGUGUGUUAGUGGAAGCGUCUGGAAAGGCGCGCGAUACAGGGUGACAGCCCCGUACACAAAAGCGCAUGUGCUGUGAGCUCGAUGAGUAGGGCGGGACACGUGGUAUCCUGUCUGAAUAUGGGGGGACCAUCCUCCAAGGCUAAAUACUCCUGACUGACCGAUAGUGAACCAGUACCGUGAGGGAAAGGCGAAAAGAACCCCGGCGAGGGGAGUGAAAAAGAACCUGAAACCGUGUACGUACAAGCAGUGGGAGCNNGUGACUGCGUACCUUUUGUAUAAUGGGUCAGCGACUUAUAUUCUGUAGCAAGGUUAACCGAAUAGGGGAGCCGGAGGGAAACCGAGUCUUAAUUGGGCGUUAAGUUGCAGGGUAUAGACCCGAAACCCGGUGAUCUAGCCAUGGGCAGGUUGAAGGUUGGGUAACACUAACUGGAGGACCGAACCGACUAAUGUUGAAAAAUUAGCGGAUGACCUGUGGCUGGGGGUGAAAGGCCAAUCAAACCGGGAGAUAGCUGGUUCUCCCCGAAAGCUAUUUAGGUAGCGCCUCGUGAAUUCAUCUCCGGGGGUAGAGCACUGUUUCGGCUAGGGGGCCAUCCCGGCUUACCAACCCGAUGCAAACUGCGAAUACCGGAGAAUGUUAUCACGGGAGACACACGGCGGGUGCUAACGUCCGUCGUGAAGAGGGAAACAACCCAGACCGCCAGCUAAGGUCCCAAAGUCAUGGUUAAGUGGGAAACGAUGUGGGAAGGCCCAGACAGCCAGGAUGUUGGCUUAGAAGCAGCCAUCAUUUAAAGAAAGCGUAAUAGCUCACUGGUCGAGUCGGCCUGCGCGGAAGAUGUAACGGGGCUAAACCAUGCACCGAAGCUGCGGCAGCGANNGUUGGGUAGGGGAGCGUUCUGUAAGCCUGCGAAGGUGGCCUGUGAGGGUUGCUGGAGGUAUCAGAAGUGCGAAUGCUGACAUAAGUAACGAUAAAGCGGGUGAAAAGCCCGCUCGCCGGAAGACCAAGGGUUCCUGUCCAACGUUAAUCGGGGCAGGGUGAGUCGACCCCUAAGGCGAGGCCGAAAGGCGUAGUCGAUGGGAAACGGGUUAAUAUUCCCGUACUUGGUGUUACUGCGAAGGGGGGACGGAGAAGGCUAUGUUGGCCGGGCGACGGUUGUCCCGGUUUAAGCGUGUAGGUGUGUGUUCCAGGUAAAUCCGGUUCACUUUAACACUGAGGCGUGAUGACGAGGCACUACGGUGCUGAAGCAACAAAUGCCCUGCUUCCAGGAAAAGCCUCUAAGCAUCAGGUAACAUCAAAUCGUACCCCAAACCGACACAGGUGGUCAGGUAGAGAAUACCAAGGCGCUUGAGAGAACUCGGGUGAAGGAACUAGGCAAAAUGGUGCCGUAACUUCGGGAGAAGGCACGCUGACACGUAGGUGAAGUGAUUUACUCAUGGAGCUGAAGUCAGUCGAAGAUACCAGCUGGCUGCAACUGUUUAUUAAAAACACAGCACUGUGCAAACACGAAAGUGGACGUAUACGGUGUGACGCCUGCCCGGUGCCGGAAGGUUAAUUGAUGGGGUCAGCGCAAGCGAAGCUCCUGAUCGAAGCCCCGGUAAACGGCGGCCGUAACUAUAACGGUCCUAAGGUAGCGAAAUUCCUUGUCGGGUAAGUUCCGACCUGCACGAAUGGCGUAAUGAUGGCCAGGCUGUCUCCACCCGAGACUCAGUGAAAUUGAACUCGCUGUGAAGAUGCAGUGUACCCGCGGCAAGACGGAAAGACCCCGUGAACCUUUACUAUAGCUUGACACUGAACAUUGAGCCUUGAUGUGUAGGAUAGGUGGGAGGCUUUGAAGUGUGGACGCCAGUCUGCAUGGAGCCGACCUUGAAAUACCACCCUUUAAUGUUUGAUGUUCUAACGUGGACCCGUAAUCCGGGUUGCGGACAGUGUCUGGUGGGUAGUUUGACUGGGGCGGUCUCCUCCUAAAGAGUAACGGAGGAGCACGAAGGUUGGCUAAUCCUGGUCGGACAUCAGGAGGUUAGUGCAAUGGCAUAAGCCAGCUUGACUGCGAGCGUGACGGCGCGAGCAGGUGCGAAAGCAGGUCAUAGUGAUCCGGUGGUUCUGAAUGGAAGGGCCAUCGCUCAACGGAUAAAAGGUACUCCGGGGAUAACAGGCUGAUACCGCCCAAGAGUUCAUAUCGACGGCGGUGUUUGGCACCUCGAUGUCGGCUCAUCACAUCCUGGGGCUGAAGUAGGUCCCAAGGGUAUGGCUGUUCGCCAUUUAAAGUGGUACGCGAGCUGGGUUUAGAACGUCGUGAGACAGUUCGGUCCCUAUCUGCCGUGGGCGCUGGAGAACUGAGGGGGGCUGCUCCUAGUACGAGAGGACCGGAGUGGACGCAUCACUGGUGUUCGGGUUGUCAUGCCAAUGGCACUGCCCGGUAGCUAAAUGCGGAAGAGAUAAGUGCUGAAAGCAUCUAAGCACGAAACUUGCCCCGAGAUGAGUUCUCCCUGAGACUUAGAGUCUCCUGAAGGAACGUUGAAGACGACGACGUUGAUAGGCCGGGUGUGUAAGCGCAGCGAUGCGUUGAGCU
rnacentral:rRNA from 1 species